AGACCCUUGACGGAUAUAGACAAAGAGAAUAAUUGGCAAAUAUCUAUAGAUGAAGUGAAUAAAAGAAAGGAAAAAUGGAAGACUUGGUGGUCUGAAGAAUAAAGAUAUAUUCAAGAAAAGUCUCUCCUUGCAUUCCACGCUCUGUGAGAUCCUCUAGGGUUUCUGAGAAAUCCCUCAUUUAUUUCCCAUUUUUGCACCGUUCCCAUUUUCAUACCAAAUUCAGAUGAGAAGGAUCGAGAAUGACACAAACAGGCAAGUGACUUUCUCGAAGAGAGGAAAUGGGUUGUUGAAGAAGGCUCACGAGCUCUCGGUUCUCUGCGAUGUCGAGGUUGCGGUGAUCAUCUUCUCUCAGAAAGGCAGGCUCUAUGAGUUCUCAAGCACCGAGGACGCGAAUAACGUUCGAAAACCGUCCAUAACCGCUGCCCACGUGUUGUGCAUGAUUAAGAAUACUCUGUGAUGGACAGAGUAUAUAUAUAUAUAUACGAGUGCAUUUCCUUCCGGUUGGUCCCUAAGCCUUUCAAUCUUAUUCAGUAAAAUACACCAUCUAUUUGAGAUUGAGUGAGGAUUAGAAGCGCCAAAUCCGAGUUAAAUAUCUGUCGAGCGUAAGAAGUUAUCAAUG